GUGAUGAGACAGAGGUCCACGGGGAUGAGGCACCACGCUGAGAAGGAUCACCCAGCUGGGAACUGCGGCAGUGGGGACUCAAGCAUGCUCUUGUGAACCGCGCCUCAACCUUCUUUCUGCUCUAUCACAUCUCCUCCCGGAGAAACAUGGGCUGGACGGGGUGUAAGAGAAGCAUAUGCAAUAAGAACAACAGAAAAAGCCUGAGUCCUCCCACCUUCCCUGCCCUGGCUUCUGCAAAAGAGCUCCUGUCUGUCUGCCUCCUGCAACAUUGGAGCCAGAUCUUUGCCUGAACCCAGACACCUGAUCCACAUCCACUGGCCUUCUUCCUUCUCAUGCCUGUUAGACCCUGGCUGCAUGCCUCAGACCCUCUGCUGUCCUUUAAGACUUCUACCUGGGCUCAUCCUUCCAGCCUACAACAGACUCCAUUUGUCCAUCACAGAGCAGUUGGUCACGGCAUCAGCCAUUUCUGGUGUUCAGACCCUGAAAGAGGAAGUGAGCUUCUUAAAUUCUGAAUGUCACAGAGCCAUCCUGCCACCCCUCAUCAGUUCUGGGGAUGAGAUGUUCCACCAGAAGGAAAAAUCAGUUGUCCUGACCAUGCUGGUGGGGGCACCACAUUGUCCUUGCCCCUGUGACACCAGGAGGAGAAGGAAAACCAGGGACCAGCUUCAGGUAGAGGAAGGAGCAGAACCUGUGGGCUGACUCACAGAGAAGAAAAAAAAAAAGAAAAGAAAAGAAAAGAAAAAAAGAAAAAAUCAAGGUAAAAUUGCUUCUAAAUUGAAUGUUUUUCACUAUUUUCAGUGUGGUGUCUGCAAUACUCCAAGAUGAUUUCCUCUUGGGGUUUCAGAAAAGCUGUAAAUAGAAUGAAUUGCUUUUAGGGACAUACUCUGGUAGUUCACUUCUCAAGAAAAUAUAUGCUAAUGCAUGUAGACUAUCAUUAUUGGGGAGACCUAUGUACUGACUCUUUUAUGUCUAUGAAGAGCAGUUUUCUGAUUGCUAGCAUUUUGCCAAAGUCUCUGUCAUGCGUGGGCUGAAUAUCUAGCAGAAAGAGGCGGAUUCAGCUAAGACUACAUGCUGAGUCUCUCCUAAGCCAGGGUUGGAGGGGGGUCUUGGUUUGCCCAAAGUUUCUUAUUAAGUGAAAAACAGGGAAAGGACAACUUUGCCUGAGAACCUAAAUGAAAGUCAAACCAGUCCAGACUCACCUGCAAUUCUGGAACCCCUGGGUGAUUUGGAGGCAGGGAAGUCCUCUCCGGGUCACCCACGAGCUCCGCAGUGUGGGCCACACCCAGCCAGAAGGUGGCAGUAUGUCCCACGUGCCCUGGAAGCCUUCGCUGACCAUUUCAGGCCCUGUCUGUAGGAUCAUCUUCCGCUUACCCAGCCAUCGUCUUCUGAGUUUUCUUCUGUUAUGGCAAAGUGGGUUAAACAACACUCGGCUUUGUGAGGAACACAGCCAACAAAUGAGAUAUCAAAUGCAGCUUCCCGUGUAAAAGAUCAGACUCCGGCGGGCACGCACGCCGGCGCUCUGCUGGAACUCCUUGGCUCUGCAGCCAGCUUCAUUUAGGAUUCAUAAAUACCUUUGUGCACUCCCGCACACAGACGCCAAAGGAAUUUCAUUCUGUAUCAUCUGCAUUUAAACACAACAAAGAGGAAAAGAUGUGGACGUUAAAGAGAAAGAAGGAAGUGGCUGUGAAGAAAAUCUGAGGCACCAAGUGGUGGGUGUUUGGUAGAUGAUGACUUGAUGAAGGGUUCGCCAUCUCUCUGUUCUGACAGAAGCAUCAGUUCGUCUAUAGUCUGGUGGGCGAAUGCAGCCCUUUCUGAUGGCAGGGUGCCUUGGUCAACGACACUUCAAACUGCUGCACUGGGUGCUGGUCAAGAUGGACAUCAGCCUUACAAGUGUUGGUCCGAAGGUCCACUUGACAAGCUUCUGGGAACUUUUGAAUUCAGGAAGCAAACUUGAAUGCUUUUGGGAACCAGGCUGAAGAACCUUUGGUAUGAAGCUGGCCAAGUAUGUGGUGAGUAUGUCUGCUCAACCUCAGGGAUGCAGCCGUUACUCAGGUCCUGCUGGUUAUUACCAAAAGGAAAUUGUUGUCAGAUCUCUCAGCACAUCAAAAGAAAC
ensembl:lincRNA